AGGAUUAAAAUCUCUUGGUAAAUCAUACAUCAUGAUACGUGGAGUUCAUGUAACACUGUGUAGUAUCAGGCUGAUGUAGGGGUGCAAAAGUCACCAGCUAAGACCCAGGGGCAGUUUCUCCAGCCACAGGAUUCAUCCUAGAGAAUGAUUAAAGGAGGUAAGGAAGUCCUUCAUGGGGAAAGGGAGAAAAGAACCUAAGUUUACAUCUAAUGGGGCACUUGGGAAGUAUGGAAGUUUUUCUAAUUUAAGUCUGAAUUUGGAUGACAACUUCAGCCAAAAAAAAUGACAAGAGAAAGACAUCUGUGUGGAGAGGCAUUGUCAUCUAUCAGAGCAAUGGAUACAGCAGGAAAGAAAGAAGAGGCAAGGCUCUUCUACCUGGAAUUUUGUCUACUGUUUUCCAACCCUACUGACUGGCCUAUCAUUUGAUCCCCAUGGCCACAGUUCCAGAGAACCUCACAACAACUGAAUAUUUUAUGGUUGAAUGAUGGAUGAAUACGGAUGCCACAGUUACAAACUUUCCCAUCACACUUCUGAUGAAGAACAGAGGGGUUUGCAGCAAUCACACACCACUAAAGAUUCAAAACAUUUGGACUGAGGAAUGUUUUGGACAAAGGAAAGUUUAUUAAGGCUGGACAAGUAUGUUUUAAAGUUUUGGAAGCGUCUUGCCUUUAUAAAUAAAACUGCCGUUAGCCAUUAGAUAGGGUCUGGACACUGGAGUAACUCAUGUUCUCCAUCUGCCCCUGAGGCUUUCUUUUCCUUUUCCAGUGAAUUUUAUCUUUAAACAUUUUUAACGCAUGAAAUACACUUCAGUAUAUUUCACUGGGCAGUGAAAUUCAACCUACCCUAAAGUCUGGAAGGCAAAUAUAUUUGUAACCAGUUCAUUCUCUGAAGUACUUCUUUCUGCAUGUGUUUUCUUUUUUCUUUGUUUGUUUUCUAGCUUGUUACUAAAAUGAAUAUGUGCUUCUUAAUUACAGGUUUAUUUUCUGAUUUAAUUGCUGUUGUUUGGGCAAUAUUUCUCUGAAUGUACACCUACUACUGAGGUGUCUUUGUAAUGGAAUAGCCAUAUUUUACUACAGUAAAAUCUGUCUCUUAUUUCAGCUUCAUGGUAACUUGAGUAAAUCUUAGAUAAGACGAGGCUUUUUAUUUUUUUUCAUCACUUUCUUUGCUAAUGCUCUUAAAACAGUGUCUGAAGUGGAAUUUGGAAGUUUCGUAUUGCACUGUUUCUUAAAGAAAACUAUUGCUCUGCUUGCCAUCCUAGCAGCAAGCUCUGAUAAAUGUCCCUCCAUUUGUACUGUACAGUGUUAAUGUAAUUCUUCUUCCUGUAACUGGCUCUGAGCAGGCUGUGCUACAGCAAAUAAGUUCCUUGGGUUACCCCGGUGCCUCCAUCAACCACCAGAGCUGGGAGACCACUGAAUAGGACUGGCAGCUCUGUGUGCUCUCCUGCAGCACAGUCAAGUUUAUACUUUACCACUCAGACUGUGGCACAUACAGAGCAGCCAUUACCACUUAACAUAUACUGUUUAAACUCUGUUGAAGUUUAUUCCUACACUGAGAAACCUCCUCAGCACCUCUUUUCACAUUUUGAGACAUCCUUGAUUUAGACAGAAUUGAUUUGAGCUCCCUCAUCAUGAAACAAUGUUGAAAUGAAAAAUAACAGAUGCAAGGCAGAGACACUGGAAUGAAGGACCUUCCACUACUUUAUCUGUAUGACAAGAGAACUUAAGGCAUUAACAAAAAUAAUACUGUUGUUCUUUUUUUGUUGUUCUCCAGGCAAUUUUUUUUCUACUCUUUGUUUACUUGCUAUGAAUCAUCUCCUCUUAAGAAUUCAUUGUGCAGAUUUAUAUAAGGAGACAAAGAACUGUUUAAUCAUCUGGUCUACCCUGUUCAGAGUGCAAACCUGGCACUAUACCAGCAGGAGUGCCAGUGUCUCAGUGAAAGGCAAAGCAGCAACAUCCCCUGGUAGUUCUUGCUCCAGGAGUUGAGGUCACAACUAUACAGUGUAGGAGGGCAGCCUGCUCCUCACCACCUCUGCUUCACUGGGACCACAUCCAGGUGCCUUUGGAAGAUCUUCAAGGAGGUGACUCCUAAUAAACUAUUAUUCUCUUCUGUAAGGAAGAACAUUCAUUUUUAAUUCUUCACUUCAUCCCCAGAGAACUAGGGUGCAAUGAAAAACUCUCCUUUAACAUGUCCAAGUGAAGGGCCAGGCUCCAUGCCAGUUACAAAUUCCCUAUUCCAGGCGAUUAACAACUGACAGUUGAGCUGUUAAUGUCGAAAGUAGCCUGAUCCUCACUUAUCAUCUGCAUCAUGAAGAAAAUGCCACUUGUGAAGGGUUUCUGAAGAAGCUGCUAAAUGAAGGUGACAGACUGCUAAAUGAAGGUGAAGUUUCCUUGUGUGUGCAUGUAGUUAACAGCACUUAUUUUUAUUUCCAUAAACUCUGACACACAGUUUAAGUCAUGUUCAACCCAAUUCCUUCCCAGCACAAACUCAAGUCCACACUUGUGUUUGUGUCUUGUUCACCAAGUCUGCCAUCCCAGCCAGAAGGUUCAAGAAAACCUUCAUUUUAAUGCUCUUCAGUUCCACAUCUGUUUCCCAUCAAAUUUUUUUUAGAUUUCCCUAAUGCCUUUUUUUAAAAAAAACUGGUCUCAGCCUGAUCCUAUGGAGAAGAGGAAAGAGAAUUUGCCUAACUUCCUGUGUAACAGUGGAGGCACGAAGAAAGGAAGAAGAAAUAGAAUUUACAUAAGGCAAUCAUUGAUUAAAAAUCCAAGUACAAGGUAUGAUUGAUUGCAUCUCCUGCUUCUGUUAUUUUUGAAGCAUUAAGGACAUGAAUAGCUCAAUGGGUGACAAGAAAAGUGUCAGGUUGUUAAAAAAGUUGCAGACUCAUGCCUUUAGAUCUAAAAAUUAUCGAGCUGCAGCUCAAAGGUGAAAAACUUACCCUCAGGCGAGGAGGGUGUGACUCAUCAUCUCAACAUAAAAUGUACAUAACAGACUUCUGAAUAAAUUUGGUCUUGAUAAGAUCUGUGAAGGCCAAGUUGAAGUGACUGGAGAUGAAUACAAUGUGAAAAGUGUGGAUGGAAAGCCUGGUGCUUUCACAUGUUACCUUGAUGCAGAUCUUGCCAGAACUACUACUGGAAACAAAGUCUUUGUGUGAAAUAAUCAGAUGCUAUGUAUGGGAAAAGGACCACAACAGCUGUGACACAUUUUUACUCUUUUCAUUUGCACACUUGGUCCAGAUUUGGCCUCUCUUACUCAAUUUAAAUAGUUCCUCACCAUGUAGUCAUGAAUGCAAAUAGGACUGUAUGGAAACUGAUGUGCUACCACUGCAAGGCAAGAUAAUCUGAAGACAUUGUUUUGUUUAAACUUUCUCUGUACAUAUACUCAUAAAUAUGAAAUAAAAUACUCAAUACAAACGUAAAAGGA